AAAACCAUAAGAUCUCCAUACCCCGUCCGGCAUGUGAGACCACAAUCCCGGUAGGGUUCCCUACGGACCCGGUCCGUCCACCAUCUCCCAGGAUAUCUAGUCAGGCUGACCCCAUUACACAAUUAUCAAUUUAUACAAUCUUCCAUUCUUCUUUCCCUCAAUCAGCAUCGUCAAUUCACAUUUAAACAAGCAAAUCGUAAUUCAUGCCAAACAGACAACAUACAGUAUCAGUUUUUCA
rnacentral:lncRNA from 1 species